UUUUUUCACGCACUUUGUUUUCUGAGUUCAAAUUAUCAUUUGGACAGACAUCUUGUCUUUUUACAUUUUUAAGAUUGGAUCCUAAGUAUAAUGUGAUCUGUUUAGCAGAACAUUGACACCACGGUCUUGGGGUUGAGAGCAUAGAAGACAGUCUUAGACUGAGAGACAUGUAUAUUUGACAUUUGGCGCCACACGCCUUAUGUUGACUUGUGACUUGUUAUCAUCACCAUUGUGAAUGAACGAAUGAAUACAUACAUAUAGACGAUACACUGUGUUAUGAUUGUUUAAGCCACAAAUGGACACAUCCUUAAUAGUCCCUGGACAAUAUAUCUGAACCUUCCCCCAACAAGUCGAUCAGAACUUUCUUUACGAAAACGUCGGCCUGUUACACGUGCACCACCGCAAUAUGGUUGUAUACAAAAAUUA